GGCGGACAUUCUUACCUCUGCGCUACGGUGGCCUCCAGGUACUAGUAAAUAAUAAUAAUAACCAGCUGCUAGUAAAUAAAUCCAGCUAUCUAAGAAAGUAUACCGACUACGUCUGAGUUGGAAUCUUGAUGAGAAUAAAUGAAAAAAAAUGUACAACCAUAGGUUCUGGUUUGUCGGUAUCACAAUGUAUUACAAAUUGUCUACGUGAACCUGUAGGUUCAUUUAGACAAUUGUGAGUCUUUCAGCAAUGUAAAACUUUUCUACAAAUUAGUGUUCGUCAGCCAUAUGCACUUCGGACUCGGCUCACACAUCUGGUACCAAGCGUACCAGAAUUAAGACUCUGAUCCCACCUGCUAAUCCAAACUAAUACCAGUUGUACCGUUGUCAUGGUCUCAAACCUACUCCACCCAAAAUAGUUCUUAAGAAGGUUGAGCGUCAUCAGCAAAGUAGGUCAGUUUCAUUAACCUCAAAAACGUUUUAAUCCAAGUAUAAGCAAAUGUUCUUCAUUUUUCGCCACGUAAAGCAAUGACGGCCGUCAUGGAAAUAACAUUUGCUGCAACCCAAAAUAAGUCACUUCAAGGUCAUAAACAUCUUAGAUGGUCAACAAACACAAAAACAAAACUCUGCUAACGACAUUUGUUAUAAAUAGCUCAUCAAUCGCCCGAUAGAUAGGUACAUGGUCGAUGAAAAUCAUUAGCACUGACCUAUACAGCACUUUCAUUGCCAAUGCCAUCGGCCCACUCAUGCAACAGCAUAUUGAGAAUGAAACCGUGGUAAAACUAUGGGACAAUACACUCGCUCAAUGUGGGGUGAUUGCAACAGCAAUGGUUAUCUAAGAUAAAGGCUCUUAUUGUCUAAACAAGUGCUUCUUCAAAUGGUUAUGCAAUUUUCCAAGCCACAUAACAAAAUUUUAUUUUCGACCCCACAGUUCGCCACCCAGCAGUCAGCCGGCAAUAAAUGAAAUGAACAUUGUUUGUGUUUGUCACAAGCCGUGCAAUUGGAAUAAAGUGAAAUAAACACGAAAACUUGAUUAUUUUUAGAAGUUACUUUCAUAGUUUAAUUGCAUUACCCAACAAAGGAGACGACAAUGGGACCAUUAAAUCAUCGAAUGAAUGAGACUUAAUCUAAGUCACUUUAUAUCAAUUAGAACCGAAAUAAGCCAGAACGAACACGUAACUGAGACCACAUCAUCUUUCUCUAAAGAAUUGUGGUUCCCAUGUUAACACAGGCGUUAAAUUUUAACAUUUCUCCAUAAGCCGGAGGGUUCUUCAUUGUUGUCAUCAUCAUCAUCAUUGCUAUUUGAAAACGAAUAUUCAUUCAUCUCAUUACCAUUGUAUGUGUCCAAAGCGUGCGAUUGUUAUUUCGAGGCAGCCAGCCAACCAACCAGCCAUGGUGAUGAUGAACAGCAGAGAAAAACACGCCACUUUUUUGUUUGGCAGCAGACAAAAAGUCGUCUCAUGUGGCUUUAUUACUCUUGCCCAGAUCCCAAGAAAGCAGUAUGUGGAUGUGAUGGAGGGAGGGGGGAUAUUUGAGUGGGCUAACUUCAAUUUGCGAUUAUUUGAAACAAAGCUUUAAGCUUAAAGAGGGGAUUGUUUGCUGGAGGCUAACAGUUUGCCCGCACAAACACAUAGCAGUGACGCAAGCAGCUUUUUGGGGGCCAAACAAACAACGUUGCAUGAAUUCAAUUGCCUCUCUCUUUUCUCUGCCUCCUCCUCAGUUUAGAAACAAUAGAUAGAUGUUACACAUCAGUUGUCGUCGGGUGUUUGUAAUAUUAUCCAAUUCAUUGAUUUCAAACCGGGGAGUUUUGUUGGCCAUUUUAUAAACCGGUAACUUUUCUUACAUCUCUGCAAGAGAGUUGCCACUGUGUUUUUAUUGCAAAAUGUUAUAACAACAAAAAUCAUCCGUUUUUUUUUUUGUUUUUGUUUUUGUUUUCUUCUCCACUGACAGUCAAAUUUAAUGGUACGAUGAUUGCUGAGAGCGGUUAAUACAACGGAGAAAAUAAAAGAAAUUUUGUCAGCUGUUCGUAAUGGCUCAUGCGCUCUCUGCACAAAGAAUACAACAUGAAAAUCGGCUGAUUUUAGGGUGGCCAAUGUGUUGCAAGGGGCAGGGAUUAAAGAGCACAUACCAGAAAACGUCCGAUGUAGUAUGUACAGCACAGUCCAACACACCGCAUAUUUCUUUUCUUUUUUACGUUUUUUGUUUAACAAACACAGCGAGGGGAUAGGAGGGUGGCAAUGGUGGUGGUUGACCUGAUUUUAUUUUUACCUUAUGCCCACACUAGAGACAGGCUGAGCUUGGUGGCACUGCCUCCUCUGUUAGCGUUGGUCUCUGGCAUCGGCGACUGGCACAGUGGUAUUUCGGUGCUUACCACAAACAAGUAAGUCUUCAUCCAUAACAUUUAUCGUAUGAUGCUGUUGCUUGCAGCUUGCUUGCUUGCCACAAUGGGCCUCCAGGAAUUGUGAAACAUUUAUGGUAAAUGCAAAAACAGGCACAGUAUCAGUACCCAGCGCCACAAUAGAUAAUAACGUUUGAUAAUGGUCAUCAGCAAUAGCCUUACUGAUGGGGAAAUGUAACAAUGAAUGGUGUUGUUUACUGCAGCGAAACAAAAACACAACCUGUUUCCAAUGCUGUUGCAAUUUUCAAUAAAAACCAAUAUUUCAAAA
rnacentral:sRNA from 1 species